UACGUAGGGUGCGAGCGUUGUCCGGAAUUAUUGGGCGUAAAGAGCUCGUAGGCGGCUUGUCACGUCGAUUGUGAAAGCCCGAGCUUAACCUCGGGUCUGCAGUCGAUACGGGCUAGCUAGAGGUGUGGUAGGGGAGAUCGGAAUUCCUGGUGGUAGCGGUGAAAUGCGCAGAUAUCAGGAGAACACCGGUGGCGAAGGCGGAUCUCUGGGCCAUUACUGACGCUGAGGAGCGAAAGCGUGGGGAGCGAACAGG
rnacentral:rRNA from 1 species